ACUAUUUUGGCAGAUUAGUGCGGUGGAUUUAGAAUCUAUUUAUGUAGAUUUUUGUCUAUAAGUAGUA
rnacentral:tRNA from 1 species